rnacentral:rRNA from 1 species
UACGAAGGGGGCUAGCGUUGUUCGGAAUUACUGGGCGCAAAGCGCGCGCAGGCGGUCUUCCAAGUCAGUGGUGAAAGCCCGGAGCUCAACUCCGGAACUGCCAUUGAAACUGUUGGACUUGAGUACGAGAGAGGUGAGUGGAAUUCCCAGUGUAGAGGUGAAAUUCGUAGAUAUUGGGAAGAACACCGGUGGCGAAGGCGGCUCACUGGCUCGUAACUGACGCUCAGGCGCGACAGCGUGGGGAUCAAACAGG